rnacentral:tRNA from 1 species
GGGGUUGUGGCGAGGUGGUUACCGCACCGGUUUGUGUUCCCGACACUCGUGGGUUCGUUCCCCAUCAACCGCC